AUAAUAGACGCUAUAAGCAGAAGCUGUUACUUAUAGUGGGUCAAUAAAGUGUGUUGAAAAAAUGAGCAGAUGGAACACACGCUGUUGGUGUUCCAGAUCACUCAUUCCCUCCUUCCUCGUGCUCUACAGGUGUGGUUGCUUUUAAGUCUGGAAACUGAUGGUGGCUGUGAGCUGUUGGUACUGUCCAGCAUCCAUUCCCCUCCUCUGGUGACAGCAUCCCAAUUGUCUCCAUCCUCAUCUUCCCAGUCAAGGGGCUCAGCUGGGGCUGACCCUAUAUCUCCUGCCACCAUGAGGAUUUAAUUCAGGGGUGGACACAGUCUCAAGUUGGCUGAAUGAGAGGUAUCCCUAGCAACUUGACUGACAAGAGAAGUUGGCUUUCUGUGAAGUUGCUAAGCUGGUCGAAGGUAAUCAGAGCCGCUGGGAGCCAUCUUCCUGCCAAAGCCAGGCCACAGGGACGCAGAGCUGAGAGAGGAAGAGAGAAAGUUCCCGCAGCACCCUUUGAGCUCCUGGGUCCAUGAUGCCUGCAGGUGGACAACUCCUUUUCCAUUACCGGAGAAAAUGAAUCAAGAGUCUUGUCUCCUACAAUCAGAAAAUCUGACUGCUGUGAAAGUUGGUGGCAGGAGUGGGUGUUGCCAGAGACACGACCUCAACUGAGGGUCAGCUGAACCUGCUAUGCAGCCCUUGCGAUGCAGAGACAAGACAGAGAGUGAUCUGCCUGUCCUGAGCCUGGCACCGGGUGCUAUUUCUACUCGACUUUAAGAGACAUGGCGGGAAAAGAACACGAAAGCUUGUAGCCGGCUUCUCCUUGACUGCAAAAAAUUCUUGAAAGAAACGGAGGGAACCCAGCCCAUCUGAGGAUGAGAGAGUAGCAGCCGACUUCCCUAGAGGAGGCGUUUUCUGGUGUGGUCAAUGACCCAAGUUGAUGGUGAGCAGAUAGUCGUCUUGGUAGAAUUAGAAAUGCCAGCUCUUGGGCUGGGGAUGUGGCUCAAGUGGUAGCGCACUUGCCUGAUAUGCGUGGGGCACUGGGUUCGAUCCUCAGCACCACAUACAAAUAGAAUAAAGAUGUUGUGUCCACC
rnacentral:lncRNA from 1 species